rnacentral:rRNA from 1 species
AUUGAACGCUGGCGGCAGGCUUAACACAUGCAAGUCGAGCGGAGAUGAGGUGCUUGCACCUUAUCUUAGCGGCGGACGGGUGAGUAAUGCUUAGGAAUCUGCCUAUUAGUGGGGGACAACAUUCCGAAAGGAAUGCUAAUACCGCAUACGUCCUACGGGAGAAAGCAGGGGAUCUUCGGACCUUGCGCUAAUAGAUGAGCCUAAGUCGGAUUAGCUAGUUGGUGGGGUAAAGGCCUACCAAGGCGACGAUCUGUAGCGGGUCUGAGAGGAUGAUCCGCCACACGGGGACUGAGGCACGGCCCAGACUCCUACCGGAGGCAGCAGUGGGGAAUAUUGGACAAUGGGGGGUACCCUGAUCCAGCCAUACCGCGUGUGUGAAGAAGGCCUUAUGGUUGUAAAGCACUUUAAGCGAGGAGGAGGCUACUGAGACUAAUACUCUUGGAUAGUGGACGUUACUCGCAGAAUAAGCACCGGCUAACUCUGUGCCAGCCGCCGCAGUAAUAC